AGUCAGUCAGUUAGUUUUGAGUCUCUCAUUUAUGUAUUUAUAUAAGUAUUCUACUUUGAGACUCGAGUUGCCUUUUUGGCCAGAUAUUAUCAGUUGGGUUGUUUUAUAACCUUGCAUUGCAUUGAGUUAUUCUGUUAAGUUAGGUUUUCCGCUGAGUUAAGAAAGCCAGGCCAAGGGUUCGCUUGGGGGCCAGCAAUGGUCUUCGAGUGCCGGCCACGUCUAGGGUGUAGGCUCGGGGCGUGACACAUAGUUCUUAUUGAGAGUUAAGUUAAUAUGAACUCGCGUCCCCAAUUCGGUGCUCAAUACUACUCCCAAAAAAUACUUUGGCUCACAAGUGUUUUAAACACAUCUUUCUUUAGUUUGAGAUAAUCGCUCAAAGCUUAGCCCAAAGGCUCUUUUGGAAAACAUGGUUCCUUUCUUACUCAAAUGUAAAAACACUUAUAAACUUCUUUGGAAAUACUUAGUUCCCUAAUAGCUUUUGAGAAAUGAAC
rnacentral:lncRNA from 1 species